rnacentral:rRNA from 1 species
GACGAACGCUGGCGGUGUGCUUAACACAUGCAAGUCGAACGGAAAGGCCCUGCUUUUGUGGGGUGCUCGAGUGGCGAACGGGUGAGUAACACGUGAGUAACCUGCCCUUGACUUUGGGAUAACUUCAGGAAACUGGGGCUAAUCCCGGAUCGGAGCUCCUGUUGCAUGGUGGGGGUUGGAACGUUUCGGCGGGUGGGGAUGGACUGGCGGCUUAUCAGCUUGUUGGUGGGGUAGUGGCUUACCAAGGCUUUGACGGGUCGCCGGCCUGUGAGGGUGACCGGCCACAAUGGGACUGAGAUACGGCCCAGACGGCUACGGGAGGCAGCAGUGGGGAAUAUUGCACAAUGAGCGGAAGCCGGAUGCAGCAACGCCGCGUUCGGGAUGACGGCCUUCGGGUUGUGAACCGCUUUCGCCUGUUACGAAGCGUGAGUGACGGUAAUGGGUAAAGAAGCACCGGCUAACUACGUG